rnacentral:rRNA from 1 species
GACGAACGCUGGCGGCGUGCCUAAUACAUGCAAGUCGAGCGGAAACGAUCCUAGCUUGCUAGGAGGCGUCGAGCGGCGGACGGGUGAGUAACGCGUGAGAAUCUACCCAUGAGUGGGGGACAACCCGGGGAAACUCGGGCUAAUACCGCAUACGCCCUACGGGGUAAAGCAGGGGACCUUCGGGCCUUGCGCUGAUGGAUGAGCUCGCGUCGGAUUAGCUUGUUGGUGAGGUAAAGGCUCACCAAGGCGACGAUCCGUAGCUGGUCUGAGAGGAUGAUCAGCCACACCGGGACUGAGACACGGCCCGGACUCCUACGGGAGGCAGCAGUGGGGAAUCUUGGACAAUGGGGGCAACCCUGAUCCAGCCAUGCCGCGUGUGUGAAGAAGGCCUUCGGGUUGUAAAGCACUUUCAGCAGGGAGGAAGGCUUACCCCUAAUACGGGUGAGUACUUGACGUUACCUGCAGAAGAAGCACCGGCUAAUUUCGUG